CUUAUUUCAAGUCACAUUCAGUGGAAGUCUCCAUUAAAAAGUGCAUGAAUCAUUUCCAGUUUGAGUUCCUGUGUGUUUCUGGGGAUUUAAGACACUGCAGCAGCCAAUGUUUUUGAAGCUAGAGAAGACAGUUCAGUCCACCACAAGGUGGUGCUAGAAGAGGAGAUUUGGAUCUGUUUGCAUCCACCUGAAAGGCUGAAAUUGUUAUUAAUCUGCUCUUCUGCCACAACCUUCUUCCUGCCUUCGUCGAAGGAACAAAGGCAGACGAGCAGCUCCAUCGGCCAUGUGUGUCUUAUGAACAACAACAACAUUUACUGCCUCUUGAAGGACAGGAUACACGGAGCCCAGGGAGAAAACAGAGAAACUGGGCCGGAAUGGUGGUGGCGAACAAUGCAGGAGGGCGGCUGCCAGGUUUUAUGGUCUGGGAUCGUGCUCCCAACCCCCACAGCCAGGUCCCCCUUCCUUCCUGCAAUGUACUGUAGUUUACACUUGAGCCACCAUGAACCACGUUUGGUUGAAAGAAGCCAGUCAGAACAAUGAAACAAUGAGAGCAUGCACUGUAGAGAGAGGUACAACCUUUCUGUCUGGGACUUGUAGUUUUUAUUCUUUUGUGUGGAGGGUGACCUCAACCUGAUAAAACAUAUGGAAACAAGAACAAACCUGUGAGAGGCUCAUGACAGCAGCGGCUCUUUGACGGGUUACAAUAACAACAUAACACAUACAUGCAC
ensembl:lncRNA